rnacentral:lncRNA from 1 species
AUGAUAAUAAGAAGUGAAAGAUACCCAAAAAGGCUGUUUAAAAAUAUCAUCUGUGAAAAUGUGUGUUCAGAUACAUGUAAGCAAAAUAUACCUGCAUGAAGCAUCACGGCAUCUAUAAGCUGAACCACCGAAUAUGUGAUAAGGAACAGAAAAGAACUCGUUGUAUAUUAGACCACAGUAGAUUGAAAACAGUGACAUCAGCAGAAGUACGUAUCGGCCACCGAAUAACAUCUCCAUAAAGCUCCCAAGUUUCUGUCGGAAACAAAGAGACCGAGAUUGAGAACGAAUCACACAAAGUAAUGACAACAAGUUAACUGUUUCAAAGAGUUUAAAAAUUCGACAAAUCAAGGUCAACAAGUAAAACACUUUUCAAAGUGUUAAUCUUUCCAUAAAGCUCCCAAGUUUCUGCCAGAAACGUGUGUUGGUGUCUGAUAUACGCCAAAUUAUACAUGUUUUAGUCCCCCAUUUUACUCCCGUUUAACGCGUUUUUGGCUAAAACUUCUUUGUUUAGGUACUUAAUCAAGUACUUUUGGAUUUUCAGGUCUUAAACGGCGUACCAAAGACAAAGUUGGAGAAAAAAGAGGAAUUUCCGGGCAUUUCGGAUGAAAUCUGCACAUUUUAUCAUGCACGGCCGUGCACUCCAUCUGCACGACCGUGCAAGGCGCUCGACACCGGAAGCACUGGCG